rnacentral:rRNA from 1 species
CCUAUCAUGCAGUCGAACGAGCUUCCGUUGAAUGACGUGCUUGCACUGAUUUCAACAAUGAAGCGAGUGGCGAACUGGUGAGUAACACGUGGGAAAUCUGCCCAGAAGCAGGGGAUAACACUUGGAAACAGGUGCUAAUACCGUAUAACAACAAAAUCCGCAUGGAUUUUGUUUGAAAGGUGGCUUCGGCUAUCACUUCUGGAUGAUCCCGCGGCGUAUUAGUUAGUUGGUGAGGUAAAGGCCCACCAAGACGAUGAUACGUAGCCGACCUGAGAGGGUAAUCGGCCACAUUGGGACUGAGACACGGCCCAAACUCCUACGGGAGGCAGCAGUAGGGAAUCUUCCACAAUGGACGAAAGUCUGAUGGAGCAAUGCCGCGUGAGUGAAGAAGGGUUUCGGCUCGUAAAACUCUGUUGUUAAAGAAGAACACCUUUGAGAGUAACUGUUCAAGGGUUGACGGUAUUUAACCAGAAAGCCACGGCUAACUACGUGCCAGCAGCCGCGGUAAUACGUAGGUGGCAAGCGUUGCCGGAUUUAUUGGGCGUAAAGCGAGCGCAGGCGGUUUUUUAAGUCUGAUGUGAAAGCCUUCGGCUUAACCGGAGAAGUGCAUCGGAAACUGGGAGACUUGAGUGCAGAAGAGGACAGUGGAACUCCAUGUGUAGCGGUGGAAUGCGUAGAUAUAUGGAAGAACACCAGUGGCGAAGGCGGCUGUCUAGUCUGUAACUGACGCUGAGGCUCGAAAGCAUGGGUAGCGAACAGGAUUAGAUACCCUGGUAGUCCAUGCCGUAAACGAUGAGUGCUAAGUGUUGGAGGGUUUCCGCCCUUCAGUGCUGCAGCUAACGCAUUAAGCACUCCGCCUGGGGAGUACGACCGCAAGGUUGAAACUCAAAGGAAUUGACGGGGGCCCGCACAAGCGGUGGAGCAUGUGGUUUAAUUCAAGCUACCGAAAACCUUACCAGGUCUUGACAUCUUCUGCCAU